rnacentral:rRNA from 1 species
UUAAGCCAUGCAGGUGCAAGUACGAUCGGUACAAUGAGAGACUGCGAAUGGCUCAUUAGAUCAGUUAUAAUUUUCUGGAUCGUACGAUCCUUACUUGGAUAACUGUGGCAAUUCUAGAGCUAAUACAUGCAACGAAGCUCCGACUGUAGUCAGUUGGAGGGCUUUUAUUAGUUGAACCUCCCGAGCUGGUCUCGUCGAUGGUGACUCUGGAUAACGCUGCUGAUCGCUAGGCUUUUGGCCAGCGACAAAUCCAAAAAGUAUCUGCCUUAUCAGCUAGUAGGUGGUCGACCUGACCACCUAGGCUACCACGGGUAGCGGGGAAUCAUGGGUUUGAUUCCGGAGAGGGAGCAUGAAAACGGCUACCACGUCCAAGGAAGGCAGCAGGCACGCAACUUACCCAAUCCCGACACGGGGAGGUAGUGACGAAAAAUACCAAUACGGGACUCUGUCGAGGCUCCGGCAUUGGAAUGAGUACACUUUAAAUCCUUUGCCAAGGAUCAAUUGGAGGGCAAGCCUGGUGCCAGCAGCCGCGGUAAUUCCAGCUCCGGUAGCAUAUAUUAAAGUUGCUGUAGUUAAAAGGCUCGUAGUUGGAUCUCAGCCGCAGAAUCGAGGUGCACUUGACGGUGUAUCCUUGUGACUGUACUACACGAGCCGUGUGCGCCGUGGUGGUCUUCACUGACCGCUUGCCGGUGUCCUGGCAUAUUUUACUUUGAAAAAAAUAGAGUGUUCACAGCGGUCCAUUCCUAUGGCCGCAUAAAGUUGCAUGGAAUAAUAGAAGAUGACCUCUGACUCAUUUUUGUUGGCUUCGAUGAGUGCGAGGUAAUGACUAAUAAGAGCGGCCGGGGGCAUUCGUAUUACGACGGGAGAGGUGAAAUUCUACGAUCGUCGUAAGACGGACGGCNGAGUGGAGCCUGUGGCUUAAUUUGACUCAACACUGGGCAACUCACCCGGUCCGAACAGUUGCGAGGAUUGACAGAUUGAAAGCUCUUUCUCGAUUCAGUGGAUGGUGGUGCAUGGCCGUUCUUAGUUCGUGGAACGAUUUGUCUGGUUAAUUCCGAUAACGAACGAGACUCUAGCCUAUUAAAUAGUUGUGCGAUACUUCGGUAGUCGGCAACAUACAACUUCUUAGAGGGACAUGUGGCUUAUAGCCACACGAGAAUGAGCAAUAACAGGUCUGUGAUGCCCUUAGAUGUUCGGGGCCGCACGCGGGCUACAAUGUUUGUAUCAGCGUGUAUCCUCCUGACCCGAAAUGGUUGGGCAAGCCCAUGAACUGCGAAUUCAGUCGGGAUUGGGGCCUGUAACGGUGCCUCAUGAACGCGGAAUUCCAAGUAAGCGGGAGUCAACAGCUUCUGUUGACAGAGUCCCUGCCCUUUGUACACACCGCCCGUCGCUACUACCGAUGAACGGUUUGGUGAGACCUCUGGAUUCGCCAGUGGGGCCUCGCGCUCCGCGUGCUGGCGAAGAAGUUGGUCG